GGGGUUGUGGCUCAGUGGUAGAGUGCUCACCUAGCAGGUAUGAGGCCCUGGGUUCGAUCCUCAGCACCA
rnacentral:tRNA from 1 species